rnacentral:rRNA from 1 species
CAUAGGUUAAUGAGGCGAACCGGGGGAACUGAAACAUCUAAGUACCCCGAGGAAAAGAAAUCAACCGAGAUUCCCCCAGUAGCGGCGAGCGAACGGGGAGGAGCCCAGAGCCUGAAUCAGCAUGUGUGUUAGUGGAAGCGUCUGGAAAGGCGCGCGAUACAGGGUGACAGCCCCGUACACAAAAGCGCAUGUGCUGUGAGCUCGAUGAGUAGGGCGGGACACGUGGUAUCCUGUCUGAAUAUGGGGGGACCAUCCUCCAAGGCUAAAUACUCCUGACUGACCGAUAGUGAACCAGUACCGUGAGGGAAAGGCGAAAAGAACCCCGGCGAGGGGAGUGAAAAAGAACCUGAAACCGUGUACGUACAAGCAGUGGGAGCCCCACCACUAAGCCAGUGGUGAACUCCACAUACGCAUCCUUUGCUGAGGAUACGGUUAACGGAGCGAAAGCGACGUUCAACCGCAAAAGAAGCAGAGGGGGCUUAGUGGUGGGGUGACUGCGUACCUUUUGUAUAAUGGGUCAGCGACUUAUAUUCUGUAGCAAGGUUAACCGUAUAGGGGAGCCGGAGGGAAACCGAGUCUUAAUUGGGCGUUAAGUUGCAGGGUAUAGACCCGAAACCCGGUGAUCUAGCCAUGGGCAGGUUGAAGGUUGGGUAACACUAACUGGAGGACCGAACCGACUAAUGUUGAAAAAUUAGCGGAUGACCUGUGGCUGGGGGUGAAAGGCCAAUCAAACCGGGAGAUAGCUGGUUCUCCCCGAAAGCUAUUUAGGUAGCGCCUCGUGAAUUCAUCUCCGGGGGUAGAGCACUGUUUCGGCUAGGGGGCCAUCCCGGCUUACCAACCCGAUGCAAACUGCGAAUACCGGAGAAUGUUAUCACGGGAGACACACGGCGGGUGCUAACGUCCGUCGUGAAGAGGGAAACAACCCAGACCGCCAGCUAAGGUCCCAAAGUCAUGGUUAAGUGGGAAACGAUGUGGGAAGGCCCAGACAGCCAGGAUGUUGGCUUAGAAGCAGCCAUCAUUUAAAGAAAGCGUAAUAGCUCACUGGUCGAGUCGGCCUGCGCGGAAGAUGUAACGGGGCUAAACCAUGCACCGAAGCUGCGGCAGCGACGCUGAUGCGUUGUUGGGUAGGGGAGCGUUCUGUAAGCCUGCGAAGGUGGCCUGUGAGGGU